UACGAAGGGGGCUAGCGUUGCUCGGAAUUACUGGGCGUACAGGGCGCGUAGGCGGCACUGUUAGUCAGGCGUGAAAUUCCUGGGCUCAACCUGGGGACUGCGCUUGAUACGGCAGAGCUUGAGGAUGGAAGAGGGUCGCGGAAUUCCCAGUGUAGAGGUGAAAUUCGUAGAUAUUGGGAAGAACACCGGUGGCGAAGGCGGCGACCUGGUCCAUUACUGACGCUGAGGCGCGACAGCGUGGGGAGCAAACAGG
rnacentral:rRNA from 1 species